rnacentral:rRNA from 1 species
AUUGAACGCUGGCGGCAUGCCUUACACAUGCAAGUCGAACGGCAGCACGGGAGCAAUCCUGGUGGCGAGUGGUGAACGGGUGAGUAAUAUAUCGGAACGUGCCCAGUCGUGGGGGAUAACGUAGCGAAAGCUACGCUAAUACCGCAUACGAUCUACGGAUGAAAGCGGGGGGAUCGCAAGACCUCGCGCGAUUGGAGCGGCCGAUAUCAGAUUAGGUAGUUGGUGAGGUAAAGGCUCACCAAGCCGACGAUCUGUAGCUGGUCUGAGAGGACGACCAGUCACACUGGGACUGAGACACGGCCCAGACUCCUACGGGAGGCAGCAGUGGGGAAUUUUGGACAAUGGGCGCAAGCCUGAUCCAGCAAUGCCGCGUGCAGGAUGAAGGCCUUC